rnacentral:rRNA from 1 species
UACGUAGGGGGCAAGCGUUGUCCGGAAUUAUUGGGCGUAAAGAGCGUGUAGGCGGUCCGGUAAGUCGGCUGUGAAAGUCCAGGGCUCAACCCUGGGAUGCCGGUCGAUACUGCCGGACUAGAGUCCUGGAGAGGAAGGUGGAAUGCUUGGUGUAGAGGUGAAAUUCGUAGAUAUCAAGCGGAACACCGGUGGCGAAGGCGGCCUUCUGGACAGUGACUGACGCUGAGACGCGAAAGCGUGGGGAGCAAACAGG